rnacentral:lncRNA from 1 species
GGUAUGGGUGUGUCCUGCUUAUAAAGCACAAGUCCAAAUCGGUUGAAAUAUUCAAAUGAUUUCAUAAUGAGGUAGAAAAAUAAACUAUAAAAGUAUUAAAACUCAUCGAUUUGACUGAUGAAGUGAAUACCUUUAUAGUAAGUUUUAGACAUAUUUAGGAGAGAAUUGGAUCUCUCUUAAUGGAUAUCUCCUGGGAUACCAUAAUUUA